rnacentral:rRNA from 1 species
GAUGAACGCUGGCGGCGUGCCUAAUACAUGCAAGUCGAGCGAACAGACGAGGAGCUUGCUCCUCUGACGUUAGCGGCGGACGGGUGAGUAACACGUGGAUAACCUACCUAUAAGACUGGGAUAACUUCGGGAAACCGGAGCUAAUACCGGAUAAUAUAUUGAACCGCAUGGUUCAAUAGUGAAAGACGGUUUUGCUGUCACUUAUAGAUGGAUCCGCGCCGCAUUAGCUAGUUGGUAAGGUAACGGCUUACCAAGGCAACGAUGCGUAGCCGACCUGAGAGGGUGAUCGGCCACACUGGAACUGAGACACGGUCCAUACUCCUACGGGAGGCAGCAGUAGGGAAUCUUCCGCAAUGGGCGAAAGCCUGACGGAGCAACGCCGCGUGAGUGAUGAAGGUCUUCGGAUCGUAAAACUCUGUUAUUAGGGAAGAACAAAUGUGUAAGUAACUAUGCACGUCUUGGCGGUACCUAAUCAGAAAGCCACGGCUAACUACGUG